CAACACUAAAUAAAGCGGUGCAUGCUGGGAUAUUGAGGAAAACACAAGGGCGCGCACUUCUGAGGGCCUCUGGCGCAGGGUGUCUGGCUAACAGCCUAGAAUUUGGAAAGGAGAGAGGAAUGAAAGAAAGAGAGACUGAUGAAGGGGUGGUUGAGGGCACCACCAUUUUUUUUCCCACCAGUGGUGAAGGCAAACUUCUUCAAUGAAACACAUACCUUAUUCAGGGAACUCCAGUUGCAGGCUUCUGGAAUGUCCUGUCUCUCUCCUCUAUUUUUCCUUUCUUUUUGUCAUCCUGUCUGGACCGGAGCCGUCUGUGGGAGGGAGAGGUGCAUGCUGGGAAAGUCAUGUGCCAUAUGUAAACAUUGGAGGAGCAGUUUAUACGUUCCACACAUGGGCUAUAGAGCCUUGUCUGAUCCUCACAGGCUUCUGGGUCUUCUGUUGCCCUCGAUUCAGGCUACUCAUCUUUUAACACCAGUGUCCAAGGAAAACAGGAGUACAGCAGCCAAGCAAAGCCAGGCAGAGCUAUUUUCCACAUCCACUGUGUGGCCAGACCAAAUACUGUACAGAGGGAUUGAGUCCCGUCAUCCAAAAGAGUGAUUUGUGGACUAAGCCAGGCAAAGCGGACUAGAGUCAGACCGGCGAAAAGAACCAUUCACCAUGCUGUCAUUGUUCUUCCUAGAUCAGCUUGCUCUCUCAGCAAGGGGUUUGUGUGAUUGGGUAUGGUGCAAUACCUGAAAGCAUCUACUUCAGCAGUAUUUCUCAAUUUGUGGGUUGUAACUCAAAACAAUGCGAAUUGCAAAAUGCAAAUAAAUGAAGCUAUAUA